AAGAAAUUAUAAAUUACAACAAUCACGUAUAUUUUACAGCAUACAAUAGUCGGUGGUAUGUAAUACCAUUGCAUGCACAGAAGUUGAUACUCUUUAUUUUAUUAAGAGGAAGUAAAUCUGUAAACCUCAAUAUUGGUGGAGUAAUUGUAGCAUCUUUAGAGUGUUUUGGCACACUAGUAAAAACAUCAAUGUCCUACUUUACUGUAAUAUAUUCUGUGUAAGUAUAAUUGCAAAUUUAUAUAUAGAAUAUAUAAAACAUGGAACUAUAUAGGUAAAAAUUGACUAGCUACAAGUCAUAUGUAACUUACUUUUUGCUUUGAAUACA